UCGUGCUGCAGCGAGUGCAGGAUCUGGAUCUCCCGCUCGAAAUCCCGCAGCUCCUUGGCCGAGUCCUGCUGCAGCUUCUUCACCGCCACCAGCUCGCCCGUGCUGUCCCCCAGGGGGUCGUAGCGGCACAGCUCCACGCUCCCAAAAUUACCCUGCGGGGGGAGGGCCGGGCUGGGACGAGGGAUGUGCCCCAGAGCCCCACCCCAUAUUCCCAGUGCCUGUUAUCCCUGCCAAGAUCCCGCUCUCAGGGCACAAUCCAAGCGUUUCUCAGCAAAGCAAGGAUGUUCCACGCCCCGAAUCAGGCUGUCCCGGAGCGCCACGUCCGCGGGGGACAGGUCCGACAGCAGCUCGUAGUCUGGGGGAGGGAUGCACGGCUGCUGCAGGAGGCGGGUGAGCCGGACCCAGAGGACGUGGAUGCCUGGAAACCGUGGGAUGAGGACGGAGGAGAACGGCAGGACACACGGACCGUGGGACACGGGCACUCGGAGCCGCUCACCAGGUAGUUGAGGGCAUAGGCCAACUGCUUGGCCACCAUCAGCUUCCAGCUGGUGGUCACCGAGCCCUCGCCCUGCUUCUUGCGCAGGUAGAGGUCCAGGGGGCCGUGCCGGACGAGCUCCUGCACCAUCACACCUGGGGGGGUGCAGGGGGGUCACCCGGGGCACAGCAGGGCUGGGUACUCCCUG